UUAAAUGGCCGCGGUAUUUUGACCGUGCUAAGGUAGCAUAAUCAUUAGUUUUUUAAUUGAAAGCUGGAAUGAAUGGUUGAAUGAAAAAAUUACUGUCUUAAAUUAAAUUUAUUAAAAUUUUAUUUUUAAGUUAAAAAGCUUAAAUUUUUUUAAAAGACGAGAAGACCCUAUAGAGUUUUAUAAAAAAAUUAAUUUGUAAUAUUUAGAAUUUUUAUUUUAAAAAUAAUUUUUUUAUUGGAUUGGGGUGAUAAAAAAAUUUAAUAAACUUUUUUUAUAUUUUUAUAUUGAUUAAUAAAUAAAUGAUCCUAAAAUUUAGAUUAAAAGAAAAAAUUACCUUAGGGAUAACAGCGUUAUUUUAUUAGAGAGUU
rnacentral:rRNA from 1 species